GUGCUCGCUUUGGCAGCACCUAUACUAAAAUUGGAACGAUACAGAGAAGAUUAGCACAGCCCUGCACAAGGAUGAUAGAAAAUUUAUGAAGUGUUCUAUAUAUAU